rnacentral:rRNA from 1 species
GAUGAACGCUGGCGGCGUGCCUAAUACAUGCAAGUCGAACGAAACUUCUUUAUCACCGAGUGCUUGCACUCACCGAUAAAGAGUUGAGUGGCGAACGGGUGAGUAACACGUGGGCAACCUGCCCAAAAGAGGGGGAUAACACUUGGAAACAGGUGCUAAUACCGCAUAACCAUAGUUACCGCAUGGUAACUAUGUAAAAGGUGGCUAUACUACCGCUUUUGGAUGGGCCCGCGGCGCAUUAGCUAGUUGGUAGGGUAAAGGCUUACCAAGGCAAUGAUGCGUAGCCGAAUUGAGAGGUUGAUCGGCCACAUUGGGACUGAGACACGGCCCAAACUCCUGCGGGAGGCAGCAGUAGGGAAUCUUCCACAAUGGGCGAAAGCCUGAUGGAGCAACGCCGCGUGGGUGAAGAAGGUCUUCGGAUCGUAAAACCCUGUUGUUAGAGAAGAAAGUGCGUGAGAGUAACUGUUCACGUUUCGACGGUAUCUAACCAGAAAGCCACGGCUAACUACGUG